rnacentral:piRNA from 1 species
UGUUUGGUUCCACAUUGCUUUUGUGAG